GACGGCCACCCAGCCUUCCUGGUUUACAUGAUCAUGGGGAGAGCCUGUCAAAAGCAACUGCACAGACCCUGUGCUUAAGAUGGCAGGAUCGCAAGACAGAGCAACUGGAGCAAGUCCUCAUUAAGAAGAGCCGCCCGAUGCAUUUGGACCGCAAUAUGUUACACCCACGAGAUUUCAGGAUAGGCCGUGGCCUAUCCUCUUCCAGCAGAUACAGAAGAUACUGCAGUUUGCAACUUUGCAGAUGCCAGCAGAGGAAGAAAAACAUGGGAGACUGCUGAUAACCUAAUGUGGAGACUUAAACUUCAGCCAGACAAAGGCGGAAUCUUAAUAUGGAGGGGCCUGGCUCUGCAGGGAGAUCACCUGGGCUGGCUGGAUUUCAAUCCAGUUGCCCAGCAAAAGUUACGACCCGAGCUUUGCCGAUGCUGAGCCUUCUACUCUCAGGGAUUCCAAAGCAUUUGAUAAACUCUUUGUUCCAUUGUU
rnacentral:antisense_RNA from 1 species